UGGAUGGACCCGCGGUGCAUUAGCUAGUUGGUGAGGUAACGGCUCACCAAGGCCACGAUGCAUAGCCGACCUGAGAGGGUGAUCGGCCACACUGGGACUGAGACACGGCCCAGACUCCUACGGGAGGCAGCAGUAGGGAAUCUUCGGCAAUGGACGAAAGUCUGACCGAGCAACGCCGCGUGAGUGAAGAAGGUUUUCGGAUCGUAAAACUCUGUUGUUAGAGAAGAACAAGGAUGAGAGUAAAAUGUUCAUCCCUUGACGGUAUCUAACCAGAAAGCCACGGCUAACUACGUGCCAGCAGCCGCGGUAAUACGUAGGUGGCAAGCGUUGUCCGGAUUUAUUGGGCGUAAAGCGAGCGCAGGCGGUUUCUUAAGUCUGAUGUGAAAGCCCCCGGCUCAACCGGGGAGGGUCAUUGGAAACUGGGAGACUUGAGUGCAGAAGAGGAGAGUGGAAUUCCAUGUGUAGCGGUGAAAUGCGUAGAUAUAUGGAGGAACACCAGUGGCGAAGGCGGCUCUCUGGUCUGUAACUGACGCUGAGGCUCGAAAGCGUGGGGAGCGAACAGGAUUAGAUACCCUGGUAGUCCACGCCGUAAACGAUGAGUGCUAAGUGUUGGAGGGUUUCCGC
rnacentral:rRNA from 1 species